rnacentral:lncRNA from 1 species
CGGACUCUAAGACAUAUACUUAGAGCCAAUUAGACUCUAAUAUAUAGAGUCUAAUAUUGACUAGGUUUUAACACAUAUACUUAGGACCUAGUCAAUCUCAAAUUCGACUGAAUCCUAAUACAUACACUUAGGAUUCAAUUCAUGUACAGUGGGGGUAUGCCCCUGCUUAAGCCAUGUAUACGGCAAAUCAUAUCAAUAAAAUUUUAUUUGCCUGUUUGGUCUCUUUUAUUAUCAGCAUUUAUAUUUGGUCUCUUAAUCGAGGGUUCCUUAACACCGAAAGUGUGGGGUAAUUAACAGCAGAUUCUUGAGUCUGUUGGAAGCCAUGAACCUAUAAUCCUGAUUUCAAAAUAAAACAUAAACAAACUUAACCUCUACCAUGAAUGAUCACUCGCCUUAGAAACAACCUACGGCGGGGCCGGUUCGUUCGCGGCAGACAAAAUGGCACGCCCGGUGGGACAUGGCUUCACCCUCCAUCUUUGAGACCUAAUUAAUAAAU